UGAGAAUCAAAACAGUCGGUGAUGGCGAGCAGAGACAAGCUCCGAUAAAUCUGACAAAUAAUUUUAAUUAAGGUGUAUGAGUAAUUUUUUCGUAACAUCGACCACCUUCUUCUUUGUGAUCUUCUUGAUGGCCACCCUCUCGCCCUUAUAUAUUCCAAUAGUGGUGAAAACUCUCGCGGGCGGCAAAGAUUCGCAACUGAUCAGCGAUCCGCGACGUAUUUUUUGUUCCAAUCCAAAAUUCUACAAAUUUAAUUAUACAUUUGUGCUAAAUUUAUAUCGAGUUUAGAAUAUAGAAAACUACAUGUUGCGUCUACCUGUAUAAAAGACAUGCGGCUGUGAUUGCAACGAGUAGAAAUACGGCGAGCGCUAUGCUUGUA